rnacentral:lncRNA from 1 species
CAUCUGUGCUUAAGGAAAAGCAUCUUUAAAAUACCAGCUACCAUUUGAAUUAAAUGGUCUCUUAUUUAAAAAUAUAUAUAUAAAUUAAAAUUAUAGUUAAGGGCAGUACAUCACCUUCUUUUAGACAGUUAUACUUUGGAAUUUACAUGUAGUCUUUUAAAUGAUUGAUUAUUUUAACUGGUGUUUUCUUUACAGAAAAUCUUUGUUAUAGUAACUUUCAGCAAACACAUCGUGGAGCAGAUGGUGGCUUUCAUUGGGGCUGUACCCGGCAUAGGUCCGUCUCUGCAGAAGCCUUUUCAGGAAUACCUGGAGGCCCAGCGGCAGAAGCUCCACCAUAGAAGCGAAGCAGGCACAGCGCAGGGAGAAAACUGGUUAUCCUGGACGUUUGAGAAGCUGGUCGUUGCCAUGGUGUGUUACUUUAUCCUGUCUAUCAUUAACUCCAUGGCACAAAGCUAUGCCAAACGAAUCCAGCAGCGCUUGAACUCAGAGGAGAAGACUAAAUAAGCAGAGAGUUUUUAUCUGCAGAAGUUAGCGUGGUGGAGCCUGCCUUACAUCGGGAGGGCUCUCACCAGGAAGGAAGAUCCCCAUUUCCAACCUGUACUGAUUUUUAAAACAUUUCUCCCUGAAAGCAGUUUAGUCCACAUUUUACACUGACAUACUUUUGCUUUCUUUGUUAAGGUAAGGUCUCCACCCUCGAUUCAAUCCACAUUGUAUUCCUUAGGGUGGAUAUGAUGUUCUGCUGCAAACUUAACAAAACUGGCCUUCUGACACUUUCACAGGGCCACAUGGUCCAACUGGAGAACCUCGGCCACACAGAACCUUCUGACGUAUGUUAAAUAUGCCAGGCUUUUCAGGCUUGUCACAAAUGAUUGGUUUUUCUAAGUCACCAAAUGUAUAUAAGUUAUAUAUGUUGGAUAGCAGUCUUGCAUGCCUAUCAUGGAACAAUGUAAUAUGCCUUCCUUUCCCACCCUCAAAAAGGCCAUUUUAUGAUGCAUUGCACACCCUCUGGGGAAAUUGAUCUUUAAAUUUUGAGACAGUAUAAGGAAAAUCUGGUUGGUGUCUCACAAAUGAGUACGCCAUUUUUUAUUCUGUAUAUUUAGAAUGAAGUCGUGAAAAACUUUAUAAAGACAUCUUUGAUCAUUCC